AAUCUUGUGGAAUAACUGACUUGUCAAUGAACAAAAAUGAUCCAUAAUGAGAAAAACGAAACAUUAGAAAUGAAUUUCACACAAUUUCACAGUAAAAUGAAUUUCACAGUAAAAUAUCAAACAUUAGGAGCUCUGUAAUGAAAAAUAAGAGCAUCACUUAAAAAGUUAUCUAAUUAAUAAAUGCACCAAAGAAAUGCAGUAUUUCUAAACACACACACACACA